GGUAGCGUGUGGCGUGUGAGGUAGCGUGUGAGGUAGCGUGUGAGGUAGCGUGUGGCGUGUGGGGUAGCGUGUGGCGUGUGGGGUAGCGUGUGGCGUGUGGGGUAGCGUGUGGCGUGUGGGGUAGCGUGUGUCGUGUGAGGUAGCGUGUGAGGUAGCGUGUGGCGUGUGAGGUAGCGUGUGAGGUAGCGUGUGAGGUAGCGUGUGGCGUGUGGGGUAGCGUGUGGCGUGUGGGGUAGCGUGUGGCGUCUGGCAGCGUGGUAUGGAAUGUGUUUACUAGUCCUGGCACCAGAACUAGAUGUUGUGUGUUGAGUUUGUCAGCAGGCGAGAACAACUGUCAUGAAGCUUUAUUCCUCUACUUCAUUACAACAGACUGGCUGUUGAUUUCCUGUGUUUAAUGAGAGACAGGCUGCGUCCCAAAUGGAAGCCUACUCCCUAUAUAGUGCCCUGCUGGUUAAAACCAAUGCAGUAUAAAAAGGAAGAGGGAGCCAUUUGGGACGUAUCCAACAAUAGUUUAGACUGUAGAGAUCCUGCUGAGUCGUGGUAAACAAGGUGAUUUGCAUCCAGACAGUCAGAUGUCCUGGGAGGAGAUGGUGUCCUGGGAGGAUGGUGUCCUGGGAGGAGAUGGUGUCCUGGGAGGAGAUGGUGUCCUGGGAGGAGAUGGUGUCCUGGGAGGAGAUGGUGUCCUGGGAG
rnacentral:lncRNA from 1 species